rnacentral:rRNA from 1 species
UACAGAGGAGCCAAGCGUUGUCCGGAUUGACUGGGCGUAAAGCGCACGCAGGCGGACGCGCGCGUGGGGUGUGAAAUCUGGCCGCUUAACGGCCAGGCGCCAUCCCAUACGGCGUGUCUGGAGUGAUGCAGAGGUCGGUGGAAUUGCCGGUGUAGUGGUGAAAUGCGUAGAUAUCAGGAGGAACACCGGUGGCGAAGGCGGCUUUCUGGACAGUAACUGACGCUGAGGCGCGAAAGCUAGGGGAGCAAACAGG